rnacentral:lncRNA from 1 species
AAAGAAGCAGUUCAUCAACGGUGAAGUAAGCAACGAUCUCUUUGGUUGCGAGUUUAUGCAUGAAUUAUGGAGCUUGAGUAGCGUUAGCUCUUAAUACUCGGCUGGAUGUGGUUGGUGCAAGUGUUAUGCCCGGAGAUUCAAUCAACUUAGGAUGCAAAUACUUUUAAUAUGUUUAAUCCAUUUAUUUUUGACAAGAUUUAUUAUUUAUUUAAAUUAUCAUUCUGAUAAAUAUUUAAUAUGUUUAAUCC